CAGCUCGGCCCGCAGGCUCCGCUUGGCGCCGCUCACGGCCACCGCUGCCGCCAUCUCCUGGUGCGAUCCAGCCCCAGGCCGCACUCCGCGAGGUUCGCCGGCCCAAGGGGCAUGUAGGAUCUUAGCUUUCUGACCAGGGAUUGGACUUGCACCCCCUGCACUGGAAGAUGGAGUCUUAACCACUAGACUGCCAGAGAAGUCCUCAUUCAUUUAUUUUUGAAACACAUGUUUAUUGAACUUUCAUUUGGCUCUGAACAGGACUCUGAGAGAGAACGGGGGCACAGAUUCGAUCCCUGGUCAGAGAGCUAAAGAGUGAAAGACAGGGAAGCCUGGCAUGCUUCAGUCCAUGGGAUUGCAAAGAGACAGACUCGACAGCAACUGAACAACAACAGGGAGCUAGAAUCCCACAUGCUGCAUGGCACAACCAAAAACAAAGAAAAAGAAUCACCAUGAGAGCAUAUCUCAAUUCAGACCAGCCACAUUGAAACUGUUCAACAGUCACCAGUGACAAGUGGCCACUGCAUUGGACGGCAUAGCGCUAGAGGGUAGAGAGUCUAUCUUAUCCCCCCUGCCCUCCACCGCACUUUUUCUUCUGAAUGUUUGGGACUAAA